rnacentral:rRNA from 1 species
GACGAACGCUGGCGGCGUGCUUAACACAUGCAAGUCGAACGGAAAGGCCCCUUUGGGGGUACUCGAGUGGCGAACGGGUGAGUAGCACGUGAGUAACCUGCCCUUGACUUCGGGAUAACUUCAGGAAACUGGGGCUAAUACCGGAUAGGAAUCCUUGCUGCAUGGUGGGGGUUGGAAAGCUUCGGCGGUUUUGGAUGGACUCGCGGCUUAUCAGCUUGUUGUUGGGGUAGUGGCUUACCAAGGCUUUGACGGGUAGCCGGCCUGGGAGGGCGACCGGCCACAUUGGGACUGAGAGACGGCCCAGACUCCUACGGGAGGCAGCAGUGGGGAAUAUUGCACAAUGGGCGGAAGCCUGAUGCAGCAACGCCGCGUGCGGGAUGACGGCCUUCGGGUUGUAAACCGCUUUCAGCAGGGGCGAAGCUUGUGGUGACGGUACCUGCAGAAGAAGCACCGGCUAACUACGUG